rnacentral:rRNA from 1 species
CCUACGGGAGACAGCAGUGAGGAAUAUUGGUCAAUGGACGAGAGUCUGAACCAGCCAAGUAGCGUGAAGGAUGACUGCCCUAUGGGUUGUAAACUUCUUUUAUAUGGGAAUAAAAUGUUCCACGUGUGGGAUUUUGUAUGUACCAUAUGAAGAAGGAUCGGCUAACUCCGUGCCAGCAGCCGCGGUAAUACGGAGGAUCCGAGCGUUAUCCGGAGUUAUUGGGUUUAAAGGGAGCGUAGGAGGAUUGUUAAGUCAGUUGUGAAAGUUUGCGGCUCAACCGUAAAAUUGCAGUUGAAACUGGCAGUCUGGAGUACAGUAGAGGUGGGCGGAAUUCGUGGUGUAGCGGUGAAAUGCUUAGAUAUCACGAAGAACUCCGAUUGCGAAGGCAGCUCACUGGACUGCAACUGACGCUGAGGCUCGAAAGUGUGGGUAUCAAACAGGAUUAGAUACCCUAGUAGUC